rnacentral:lncRNA from 1 species
AUGCCCUCUUCGUGCUGCCGCCCCACCGGCCUUGCUCGGCUCUACCGAGUCUCCACGUUGGUUUCGCCACGUUGGAGCAGCUGGGGCACGUCAGGCUGCCCUGGGCAUUUCGCGACUCUCCCUUCCCAGCACUUUAUUUUGGGCGCUCCAAGGAGUUGCAUCGGGUUUCCCCAGGCCGCUCUCCCCGCGGGGCAGAGGGUGCGAGAUGUGGAGCCGUGCUCCUUCCCCCGACGACGACCUCGUUCCAAAGAAGCUUUGACCCACCCUGCCGGAGAGAACGGGGUGGGGGGGAGGCCCUUUAUUACCCGAAGCUUCGGCUGGUGUCGGGGGGUCUUUUGCUCCUUUCGGAGAGGAGUAGGGAGGAGAGCACCAUCCGAAAGAGCGGGUCCCCCUUUUCACUCCAGCUCACCCUCCCCCCCUGUCCCUCAUCGCCCUCUCCUGGCUUUUCUGUCCCCCAUUGAACAGCAACAGGCUGUCGGGGCUGCGGCCCGAAGCCUCCCCGUGGUGGGAUGGGGGUUUAGAGGGUCUUCCCAGUGGUGGGGGCCGGCUCUGUGUCACUCCUACCCCCCCGGCACUGGAGCACCGUCCCAGAGCUGGGGGGCAGAAGGGAUGCGCCUUGUUCCCCCACCUACCCCACUGGGGGCUUGGGAUGGGAGAUGGGGAGAGGGUGCUGGGAGCGGGGUUUUGGGGGGUGGGGGGCAGCUCAGGCUCCUUGCUGUAAACCUGCCGCCUGCAGUGCCGAACGCUCGCAUCCUCCUCCUCCCAUCCGCGGCUGCAGCUCUGCUGCUCCAUCCCAUUAUUGUUAGGGGAGGAUGCGAGCAAAAAACAAAACCCAACCAAAAAGCCAACACACACCCAAGCAAACCACCCAGGCGCUCCCCCCUCCCCCCCCCUCGGCUCUCACACCCCCCCCCUUUCGCUGAUCGGUGGCACUCCCAGGACCGGCUGCGCUUCCUUGGCCCUGGGGAGGGGAGGCAGAGACGGAGAGAGGCGGGGGAGGAGGAGGAGGGGGCCGGGGCCAGGCAGUCACACACAGGGAAAAUCGCUUUUGUCUCCGGCACGGCGAGCGGCGCAGGGGCUCGGUGCUGCGGCUGCCGGAGCCCCCCGCUCCGCUCAGCGCCCGCUCCGCUCCCGCAGCACCGCGGUGGCACCGCGCCGUGGAGCGGGCAGCUCGCCGCCUCUUCUCUUCCUAUUAUUAUUGUCUUUUUCUUUUUUUUUCCUCCUCUCGCUGUCUCUCUCCCCACCUCCUUUUCCGUCCGUGUGAUUUCUGCCUUUUCGGCGUACAGAGGAUCCCCCCCUCCUGCACGCACGCUGCCCCCCGCCCGAGGUUUCUCUGGGUCCAGCCGGAAUCCGCGAAGCUCCAGGGGAUUUUCCCACCCAAGCUGGGGUCUAUGA